UUGGGAGAAGCUUAGAUUUUCUUAGAACUCUGUAUAUAACACAGCCAAAGCCGACAUGGAUGUCGGCUUAGAUGGCACAGCACAUGGAAGUGCGAUUGCCAUCGGUGGCGUCAAUUGGAGAAAAUUUUUCAGAGUUCUUAGAAUAUCUUAGCCUCGUAC
rnacentral:ncRNA from 1 species